ACGCUGGCGGCGUGCUUAACACAUGCAAGUCGAACGAUGAAGCCUAGCUUGCUAGGUGGAUUAGUGGCGAACGGGUGAGUAAUACGUGAGUAACCUACCUUUAACUCUGGGAUAAGCCUGGGAAACUGGGUCUAAUACCGGAUACGACCAAUCUCCGCAUGGGGUGUUGGUGGAAAGCGUUAUGUAGUGGUUAUAGAUGGGCUCACGGCCUAUCAGCUUGUUGGUGAGGUAACGGCUCACCAAGGCGACGACGGGUAGCCGGCCUGAGAGGGUGACCGGCCACACUGGGACUGAGACACGGCCCAGACUCCUACGGGAGGCAGCAGUGGGGAAUAUUGCACAAUGGGCGCAAGCCUGAUGCAGCGACGCCGCGUGAGGGAUGACGGCCUUCGGGUUGUAAACCUCUGUUAGCAGGGAAGAAGAGAGAUUGACGGUACCUGCAGAGAAAGCGCCGGCUAACUACGUGCCAGCAGCCGCGGUAAUACGUAGGGCGCGAGCGUUGUCCGGAAUUAUUGGGCGUAAAGAGCUUGUAGGCGGUUUGUCGCGUCUGCUGUGAAAGGCCGGAGCUUAACUCCGUGUAUUGCAGUGGGUACGGGCAGACUAGAGUGCAGUAGGGGAGACUGGAAUUCCUGGUGUAGCGGUGGAAUGCGCAGAUAUCAGGAGGAACACCGAUGGCGAAGGCAGGUCUCUGGGCUGUAACUGACGCUGAGAAGCGAAAGCAUGGGGAGCGAACAGGAUUAGAUACCCUGGUAGUCCAUGCCGUAAACGUUGGGCACUAGGUGUGGGGAACAUUCCACGUUUUCCGCGCCGUAGCUAACGCAUUAAGUGCCCCGCCUGGGGAGUACGGCCGCAAGGCUAAAACUCAAAGAAAUUGACGGGGGCCCGCACAAGCGGCGGAGCAUGCGGAUUA
rnacentral:rRNA from 1 species